GGCUAAAUACUACUUAGUGACCGAUAGCGCAUAGUACUGUGAAGGAAAGGUGAAAAGAACCCCGGGAGGGGAGUGAAAGAGAACCUGAAACCCUGUGCUUACAAGCACUUAGAGCACGUCAAAGUGUGAUAAGGUACCUAUUGUAGAAUGGUCCGGCGAGUUAUUGUAUGCAGCGAGGUUAAGUAGUUCAGCUACGGAGCCGAAGUGAGAGCGAGUGUUAACAGCACGUUCAGUUGCAUGCAAUAGACCCGAAACCGGGUGACCUAUCCAUGUCCAGGAUGAAGUGAGGGUAAAACCUCAUGGAGGUCCGAACCCACUCCCGUUGAAAUGGUAGGGGAUGAGGUGUGGAUAGCGGAGAAAUUCCAAUCGAACCCGGAUAUAGCUGGUUCUCCCCGAAAUAGUUUUAGGACUAGCCUCGUGAUUAAGAUUAUCGGAGGUAAAGCACUGAAUGGCCUAGGGGUCGAGAGAUUACCGAAGCCUAUCAAACUCUGAAUGCCGAAUAAUCAUGCACGGGAGUCAGACUGUGUGAGAUAAGUUUCAUAGUCGAAAGGGAAACAGCCCAGACCUACAGCUAAGGUCCCAAAGUACGUUUAAGUGGAAAACGAUGUGAAAUUGCGUAGACAACCAGGAUGUUGGCUUAGAAGCAGCCAUACAUUAAAAGAGUGCGUAAUAGCUCACUGGUCGAGUGACUUUGCGCGGAAAAUUUAACGGGGCUAAAACGUACACCGAAGCUUAGGCUUGUCACAAUGUGACAGGGGUAGGGGAGCGUUGAAUGAGGGGUGAAGUCGUAGCGAAAGCGACGGUGGACUUCAUUCAAGUGAGAAUGCCGGAAUGAGUAGCGAGAAUUAUGUGAGAAUCAUAAUGGCCGAAAGCCUAAGGUUUUUGGAGGAAGGUUCGUCCGCUCCAAGUAAGUCGGAAGCUAAGGUGAGGCUGAAAAGCGUAGCCGAUGCACAAACGGUUGAAAUUCCGUUACCACAGAAAGAUUUAAACUAAGGGACACUUUUGAAGAACUGAUGCCGGGUGUUGGUUACCCCGGUCGUAAGGGAACGAAAUCAAGUAGUGAAGUCAGCGUGGAUGAAGGCGAGAAAAGCUUAGUGUAUAUCUUAUGUGUCCGUACCGCAAACCGACACAGGUAGGUAGGAAGAGAAUUCUAAGGCCAACGGGAGAAGGGUAGUUAAGGAACUCGGCAAAAUGUCCCCGUAACUUCGGAAUAAGGGGAGGUUUCUACGGAAACCCGCAGAGAAUAGUCCCAGGCAACUGUUUAUCAAAAACACAGCUCUAUGCUAAAUCGAAAGAUGACGUAUAUGGGGUGACGCCUGCCCGGUGCCGGAAGGUUAAGAGGAGGAGUGAGAGCCCUGAAUCGAAGCCCCGGUAAACGGCGGCCGUAACUAUAACGGUCCUAAGGUAGCGAAAUUCCUUGUCAGGUAAGUUCUGACCCGCACGAAUGGCGUAAUGAUCUGGGAGCUGUCUCAACUGCCCGCCCGGCGAAAUUGUAGUACCGGUGAAGAUGCCGGUUACCCGCGACUAGACGGAAAGACCCCAUGGAGCUUUACUGUAGCUUAAUGUUGG
rnacentral:rRNA from 1 species